rnacentral:rRNA from 1 species
UACGUAGGGUGCAAGCGUUAAUCGGAAUUACUGGGCGUAAAGCGUGCGCAGGCGGUUUUGCAAGACAGAUGUGAAAUCCCCGGGCUUAACCUGGGAACUGCAUUUGUGACUGCACGGCUAGAGUGUGUCAGAGGGGGGUAGAAUUCCACGUGUAGCAGUGAAAUGCGUAGAUAUGUGGAGGAAUACCGAUGGCGAAGGCAGCCCCCUGGGGUAACACUGACGCUCAUGCACGAAAGCGUGGGGAGCAAACAGG